AGCGAUGUACAGUGAUACGGCUCCAGAGGUGAGGGAUUAAACUAAGAGCAGAUUUCGGAAGCAACGCGCUCGGCUCUCUUUAGGAAUUUAACCCCAAGCCAAAGGGUUAAAAUCACAUUUGAGCAUCCCGUCAAAGGAGGCAAAUGUGUUGGCGCGGCUGCUAAUGGUGCACAAAAAAAUUCCAUGCGAGAAAUAGCUGGAUCAUGUUGACAAUGCGGCAUGAAAUACAGUUUGCCAUGCCUCAGGUUUGCUUAGAGACUGUCUCUGAAUGCUCGAUUCACUCACAAAAAGACAGCAUUUCCCCAUUAUGACUGCCCUUUUUUAAUGCUUGUGAAAAUAUCCCCUUGAGGAACAGGAAUUAAACCAUAUGUUAUCCCUAUUUGUAACUACUGUACAAUGUUUCCUGAUAUCAAGUUCUUUACAGUUAUUAUUAAGCUUAAAAAUGUACCAACUCCCAAGGGAUAAUCUCAAAACUUCAACUGGCUGUGUUUUCUGCUUUAUUUCUGUGUGUUAGCAUGUUACUAGCACCGUUUUUAAAAUUCCUUUGCCAGUUUUUACAAAACGUUAAGGAGAGGGUUUGCUCUGAAAGAAUCUGAUUCUCUGGGACAGCAGAUCCAUUGUGAAUCUUUAAAAGACACAAAAACAACAAACGUCCCCUGAUUCUUCGUCUAAAUUGCGAUCGUCACAUAUCUUCCGUUAGCCACCACAACAUACGGCAGCACUUCACAUCUAUUACAUUUGAAUCCGCGGGCUUCGACACAGUAAAAGAUUGUUGAAACUGACUUGGUGCGUUUGUGUUUCAGGCAGCAGCGUGAACAACAGAGAUUGCGUUGACGCAGAAAGUGACACCGACUUUGGAGACCGCGUCAGCAAUUCCCUGUUGCCAGAGAAAGAUGAAGCAGCAGCCAAGGAAAAGAGAAAAAUGUCUGUCGACGUCGGUCCAAAAAUCUGGAAGCGAUAACCCAACUUUGUCCCAAGUUGUCAUGAGCCCCAUUCUCCAACCCAAACCGAGACCUCCUGGGAGACGUGCGGGUUCUGCAGAUGGGAACGUGUCCUCUUGUCACGGUUCGCGUGUGAGAUUGCACUCUGGCCUCGAAUCUCUGCCAGUCGAGGACGCUCUUUCUCCACCUUCCUUUCAGCUCUGCCCAAUGCGCAGAACUUUCUCUUGCGACGGCCCCAAAGAAUCGAUGAGUCAUGUUAAAAUCAAUUCUAGGUUUCCAACAAUGCCAAAACAUAAUGAAGUCUUCUAUGGGUGCUUAUUGUGUGGAGCUGACUGCGUUCUCUACAAAAACCUGACAAUUUCGCCCUGUGGGCAAUCACCGAGCCACAGCGGCGAGGACAAACUCUCUUCUCACA